CCAGGUUUGGAGCGUCUGUCUUCAGACCACCCCAGCCCUCUUCUCACCAUGGCUCUGCACACACCUGGACCCUCCCUGCACUCAAUUUACGUUUCUGGUCACUGACGUUCCUGCCAACUCUCCACUACCAUUCUGGGACAGUUUUUCUUAAUUGUUUGAAACAACACAUCGACAAAUAACUCAGGAUCAGGAGCCAUUUCUGAAGGACCACCUGCUACCAGGACCACGCAAAGGAGUGACAGGUACCUGCUGAAGGUGGGCAGCCCCACCGCCUUGGAGAGGAGCCCGGGGGUAGCUCAGGAGAGGUUCGAGGUCAUGGCUCAGCCAGGGUCUCAGGUGAGAGGCCCUAGGAGCAUCCUCACGGGAGCCCCGCCCUACGCUUGGAUGACCUCACAGACCCUUGUCCGCACUCCAGGGAGGCUCACCUAGGACCCCACUAUGAGCCCUGUGGGCAGGUAAGGGUAAGCCACAUGUCUGUACCACCAGCUCUGCAGGGUGGCACCCGCUCUGCCCUACGAAGCCCCAGUCUCCCGCCCCAGCUGUCAAAGGCCCGGCUUGGGCCCUUGCAGCUUUCGUCCGAACCACUGAAACUGCUUCCCCUGCUGCACUGCCAGCAGAUGCCCCGCUUCCACCUCCUGCCUCUUCCCAGAUGAAGAACACCCUCGUGAACCAGCAGCUCAAGCCUUCCCCACCCUGGCCCCAUGUUCGCUGUCUUGCACGUCACAUGGCAAGACCCAGCAGUGUUGAUGCCGCCAACCUGCUCUGACACCAAGCCUCUCCGGCCUCCGCUGCCCUGCCUGGCAAACCCUUCUGGCCACUCCUGGCUGGACCGUGGUCUUUCUGAGGCAGCCCUGGCAUCUAACUGAGCGCUAUCAGCUUCAGUCCUGUCUGAACAACUGUCUCCUUCCACACCAAAUCUACUUCAAACACUCUGCAUACACAUGAAAAGUCAGGUAAAAAGCCUUCUGGUGGCCCCAGUGUGCGGGUUUCUGUGGAAUAAAUAAAGUGCGCUUACGGACU